UACAGAGACUGCAAGCGUUAUUCGGAUUCACUGGGCGUAAAGCGUGCGCAGGCGGUUUGCUAAGACAGGUGUGAAAUCCCCGGGCUUAACCUGGGAACUGCGCUUGUAACUGGCAAGCUUGAGUGUGGCAGAGGGGGGUGGAAUUCCACGUGUAGCAGUGAAAUGCGUAGAUAUCGGGAGGAACACCAGUGGCGAAGGCGGUUGCCUGGAGCUUUGCUGACGCUGAUGCGCGAAAGCGUGGGGAGCGAUCCGG
rnacentral:rRNA from 1 species